rnacentral:rRNA from 1 species
UGAGGAAUAUUGGACAAUGGGGGCAACCCUGAUCCAGCCAUGCCGCGUGAGUGAAGAAGGCCUUAGGGUUGUAAAGCUCUUUCAAUUGUGAAGAUGAUGACGGUAGCAAUAGAAGAAGCCCCGGCUAAAUUCGUGCCAGCAGCCGCGGUAAUACGAAUGGGGCAAGCGUUGUUCGGAAUCACUGGGCUUAAAGCGUAUGUAGGCGGAUUUGCAAGUCAGGAGUGAAAUCCCGGGGCUCAACCCCGGAACUGCUCUUGAAACUGCAAAUCUAGAAUCCGGGAGAGGAUGGGAGAAUUCCUAGUGUAGAGGUGAAAUUCGCAGAUAUUAGGAGGAAUACCAGUGGCGUAGGCGCCCAUCUGGACCGGUAUUGACGCUCAGAUACGAAAGCGUGGGGAGCAAACAGGAUUAGAUACCCCCGUAGUCC